CCCUUAGAUGUUCUGGGCCGCACGCGCGCUACACUGAUGCAUUCAACAAGCCUAGCCUUGACCGAGAGGUCCGGGUAAUCUUUGAAACUGCAUCGUGAUGGGGCUAGAUUAUUGCAAUUAUUAAUCUUCAACGAGGAAUGCCUAGUAAGCGUGAUUCAUCAAAUCGCGUUGAUUACGUCCCUGCCCUUUGUACACACCGCCCGUCGCUCCUACCGACUGAAUGUGUUGGUGAGGAGCUCGGAUUGGCAGCAGUUGGUGGUUCGCCACCGGCUAUUGCUGAGAAGUCCUCCAAACCGCCCCAUUUAGAGGAAGGAGAAGUCGUAACA
rnacentral:rRNA from 1 species